GCAAGUGUAGCACAGUGGUUUGAGUGUUGGACUAUGAUUCUGGAGACUAGGUUCGAUUCCCAGCUCUGUCA